rnacentral:rRNA from 1 species
GUGAGGAAUAUUGGUCAAUGGGCGCAAGCCUGAACCAGCCAUGCCGCGUGCAGGAAGACGGUCCUAUGGAUUGUAAACUGCUUUUAUUUGGGAAUAAACUCCGGUACGUGUACCGGCCUGAAGGUACCAAAUGAAUAAGCACCGGCUAACUCCGUGCCAGCAGCCGCGGUAAUACGGAGGGUGCAAGCGUUAUCCGGAAUCAUUGGGUUUAAAGGGUCCGCAGGCGGUCUUAUAAGUCAGUGGUGAAAGCCUACAGCUCAACUGUAGAACUGCCAUUGAUACUGUAGGACUUGAAUUCGAUCGAAGUGGGCGGAAUGUGACAUGUAGCGGUGAAAUGCUUAGAUAUGUCACAGAACACCGAUAGCGAAGGCAGCUCACUAGGUCUGGAUUGACGCCCAGGGACGAAAGCGUGGGGAGCAAACAGGAUUAGAAACCCGUGUAGUCC